rnacentral:lncRNA from 1 species
CUGUUUGGACCCAAAUUUACACCAUCGGCCCAUGUAAUCAAGGCCGUUGAGAAAACGUAGUUCUCAACCGUCGGAUGGAAAAGUGGAGAUAAUUUUUAUUGUUAAAGGAUAAUAUUAUGAUUUUUAUCAUGAUAUUUAUCGUUUAAAAAAUUAUCUUGAUAUUUUCUUGUACAAGAUGAGGUGCAAAUUAUAUCUUCAAAGUGAGCAGUACAGUUCAAUUUAAUUUGGGGUUCUUGGGAUUUAAACGUGUGGUAGAUUAGAGCAUUGGAGUAUUUUAUUGUUAUUAUCCAUUUAAAAGUGGGUGAUAAAUGGUGGAUAAAUGUUGUUGAGCACGUAGCUCGGAAUCGAUCAAGAUGGUUUGUUGAGAUGCAUGCAUGAUGCAUGGAUGGGAUGAAAUUAUGAGAUAAAAUGAAUUUAAUAUUCAUUUAAAGGAAGCCUAGGAACGUAGGUCUUUUUGGUGAUGUGAUGAUAAGGUAGGCUAGGUUUUUAAUGCUUAUUUCUUGGGUUGGUUCCGUAAAGAUGGAUGGAGGAAAGCAGGUGGUGAAGCCACGUCACCAAAGAUCAAAUCCUUUAAAGAUCAAGGGAAUUUGAAAUAAGAGUCAGGCCGUGCCAAGCAAGUACAUCAGGUUCUAUAAAUACAGAGGCAGUGCAUCAUUCAAAGGCCCACAAAAAUCAAUACAAAAUUGCCCUGCGCAAACUCUCACAACUUGAGAUCUUUUUCUUUUCCUUUUUCGCUGACACAUCUUCCGUUGGCAUCAACAGCACUGUGGAAGCAACCGGUGAUAUCUUAAGUCGGCAUAGAUAGCUCUGUCACCGUAGAGUCGGUCGGUGUCUCGCAGUAUCUUCCGUUGGCAUCAACAGCACUGCGGCGAGAACGGUCGAUUGCCUAUCCAAGUCUCGGUCGAGAAGGGUUUUCGAAUCCUUGUUGGUCGAGGUCAUCUCAUUAGCCUUCUCGGCGAGGUGAGGUGUUACAGUUAUUACAUUCGGCACAUUGUAAGCCGAAUUCGGUUCGUGAACUUUGUAAGAAAUAGCAGCCUUGUCUUCAGGCUCGAGAACCCAAGAGGCCGAGACGCGUUCCUUUCUCGGCCGCAAUCGCAAGACGCAGAAGUCAGUAGCGCGACCCAACGCAGCAUCAUCAAAUUUACUCCUCGGCCGAGCCUCGGCCGACGAGUUGGCACGCCCCGCAAUCACCGAAGGACGUAGUUAGCUUAGAAUAUAUUCGGCCUGCGCGCCACGUAGGCUUGGUAGAUUUUAGGGUCAACAUUUUGGCACGCCCAGUGGGACCCAGUGCUAAAACUACGAAGUUCAUAUGAUAUAUCAAGAUGUCAAUCCGGCUCCAUUUAGCCGAUUGCACGAGCUCCUUGAGCAAUUGAAAAGAAACAAUGAGAGAGAAUAGAAACGCGCCUUGAGGAAGAUAAAAGAUCAUGGGAAACGGUAAAAAUUCUUCGUGGCGAAAGAGCCAGGCAAAAAUCAUUCGCCUACAUGUUUGAGAAUAGAAGCUCCUGUGUUAUCCUACAAAAGCAAUGGGUAAACGAAGAUAGGGCUCGGUUUAAUGCCUGGCUAGAUGACGACCGUUUUCCUUACGUUUCUGAUUACAGUUCAAUUCCAUUUGAAAAAUGGUUAGGUCCAAAGGCCGGGGGGCAAUUUUUUGCUCCGGCCACAAUCAAAAUUCGGCCUCAGAACAUAGUCGAGACGGCCGAAGAAGAGUUUAGGCCACCUAUUUUUUCGGUUGAGACUGAAAGUGUGGUAGGCCUAGAAGAAAAUGUUCAAGUUUCUGAGCCCAAAAUUGACUUGGAAAAUGAUUCGUCAGAGGAGUGUUCCAAUGACGAACAAAACCAAUACAUGGUUUUAGACGCCGAAACUACACUAAUUGAUAUGAUUAUUGGUGAUAAGAAAUCCCGUUCGGCUAAGUUAUUUGAAUUAAAAGCCGAAAUUAUGCUUGGGGGGCAUAAUAAUUGUUCAACACAUUCGGCGGCCGAGAAUGAAAAAUAUUUCACCAAGUCAAAAAUAUUUUGGAAAAAUUCUUUACUCGGCCUAGAGCGAAAUCAAUUUGAAAAUUUUGAUGCAAAAAGAUCGCGGCUUGGAAUAAAGCAUCGUUGGCCUCCUCCUGAAUAUGGUUCGGCCACUUUUAUUUCCAUUUAGAAAAAAAAAAAAUAUUUUCUUAAUCGUCUGGCUACGUAAGCCAAUGCAUCAGAAAAUAAGGGGGCAAUGAUCCAAAUAUAUAUAUUAGUUGGUCGAAGAAGCAAUCCAGGCUUAUAUAUAUUAGUUGGCCGAGAUGGCUGAGAGAAAAAAUUUCGGCUUUAGCCUCGGCCUCGACUACUUUACAAAAGCCUCGGCCUCGGCCCCAUUACAAAGCAAGACUUGGCCGAAACAGAUAUACAUAUAUAUAAUAUAAGCAGCUUUUGGCCGAAUUAAUGGGGUUUGGGUAUCAUGGACGACAGAGCAGCAUGCAGGCCUCAAUGGAUGUAUGGGUACAGAUCAAUUCAUGCCAUGCGGUCGACUAAUAUAUAUAUAUAUAUAUAUAUAUAUAUAUAUAUAUAUAACCAUACAUACCGAGCUCGGCGGGGUGUAUUGUUGCCGAGUAAGGUCUGUUUCUCUCGGCCUAGUUUUCUCGGUGGCCCAACCAAGUCAUCCACCAAUCAUGAGAUGGCCGAAGUGGUCUAUUAAGGUGUUUGAAGUAUAUGCGUGGCAGCUGUAUAUCCAUGCAAUCACAUAGUGGGGGAAUCUAAAAAAAAAAAAAAGAAGAAAUAGGCAUGCUUUUUCAACAUUAUAUAUGCAUGGCUUAGUGGGAAGUCUUAUCAAAGAUGCAUGGUGGCAGAACACUCAGUUGAGAUUCGAUGUGUGUAUAUAUAUAUAUAUAUAUGGUAGACUUGCUUUAGGAUGCCACUACCGAGAAGUGAAUAGAGCAUUCAUGAUUGAUGGCAGGCCGAGCUACCCGGAAUCGGGGUUUUCUCGGCCAAAAUUCUCUCGGCCCUUAAAGCAAGUUUUGAGUAUUGCGACCGAUUAGUGUGGGGUCGAAGUGAUUGCAAGGUUUUAUCUAAAGUUACUGAGCCUCGUAGAGAAUUGUGGAAGCCGGGGAGACGACAGCGUUGGUAGGACAGAGGAGUAUUAUUGCUGAGGAAACAAAAUUUCUUUUUCGACGGUAUGACGAGGUUUACUGGCUACAAAAUAAUUAAUUUCCUUAACCAUUCGGCUUACGAGCCGAAGUUCAAGGAAACUGGGGCAAUGUUUGGACCCAAAUUUACACCAUCGGCCCAUGUAAUCAAGGCCGUUGAGAAAACGUAGUUCUCAACCGUCGGAUGGAAAAGUGGAGAUAAUUUUUAUUGUUAAAGGAUAAUAUUAUGAUUUUAUCAUAAUAUUUAUCGUUUAAAAAAUUAUCUUGAUAUUUUCUUGUACAAGAUGAGGUGCAAAUUAUAUCUUCAAAGUGAGCAGUACAGUUCAAUUUAAUUUGGGGUUCUUGGGAUUUAAACGUGUGGUAGAUUAGAGCAUUGGAGUAUUUUAUUGUUAUUAUCCAUUUAAAAGUGGGUGAUAAAUGGUGGAUAAAUGUUGUUGAGCACGUAGCUCGGAAUCGAUCAAGAUGGUUUGUUGAGAUGCAUGCAUGAUGCAUGGAUGGGAUGAAAUUAUGAGAUAAAAUGAAUUUAAUAUUCAUUUAAAGGAAGCCUAGGAACGUAGGUCUUUUUGGUGAUGUGAUGAUAAGGUAGGCUAGGUUUUUAAUGCUUAUUUCUUGGGUUGGUUCCGUAAAGAUGGAUGGAGGAAAGCAGGUGGUGAAGCCACGUCACCAAAGAUCAAAUCCUUUAAAGAUCAAGGGAAUUUGAAAUAAGAGUCAGGCCGUGCCAAGCAAGUACAUCAGGUUCUAUAAAUACAGAGGCAGUGCAUCAUUCAAAGGCCCACAAAAAUCAAUACAAAAUUGCCCUGCGCAAACUCUCACAACUUGAGAUCUUUUUCUUUUCCUUUUUCGCUGACACAUCUUCCGUUGGCAUCAACAGCACUGUGGAAGCAACCGGUGAUAUCUUAAGUCGGCAUAGAUAGCUCUGUCACCGUAGAGUCGGUCGGUCUCGCAGUAUCUUCCGUUGGCAUCAACAGCACUGCGGCGAGAACGGUCGAUUGCCUAUCCAAGUCUCGGUCGAGAAGGGUUUUCGAAUCCUUGUUGGUCGAGGUCAUCUCAUUAGCCUUCUCGGCGAGGUGAGGUGUUACAGUUAUUACAUUCGGCACAUUGUAAGCCGAAUUCGGUUCGUGAACUUUGUAAGAAAUAGCAGCCUUGUCUUCAGGCUCGAGAAC